ACAACUGAAGCAGAUGGAAAUUAGAGUUACCUUCAUGUGGGAAGAAAGAAUGAAUUCAAGUGGAGGUCUCACUGCAUGGACAAAACCCAGAAAGGGAAAGCAAAAGACAACCCAGAUUUUAUGAGGAAACUGAGGAUCUGAUGGGCAGCGUAUUCUUUGUGAGAAGAGAACUGGACAUAUCACCUUCAGCUCUGAAGUCCACUCAGGUUCCUUGUGAGUGAAACCUUCUAGAUGACAGGUGACUGGACACUGUUGGGCAACUGGAAUACCAGAAGCUUCUUUUUCACAGUUCUGGAGUCUAUGAAGUCCAUGAGGAAGCAGAGAUCUCUUCUAGGGCAGCAUGUUGGGUACCUGAAGCCGGAUUUGUGUCACGUGAUGCCCAGGCUUCAUGCAAACAACUGAUGUUGUUCUUUUGAGAAUUAAUCUGGGGACACUGACGUGGGAAGGUUACAGGUGAUGUUCCCGCCGCCUCAACAUCCCCUUGCACCUGUAGAGCUGCUGGUCAGG